rnacentral:rRNA from 1 species
CCUACGGGGGGCAGCAGUGAGGAAUAUUGGUCAAUGGUCGGGAGACUGAACCAGCCAAGCCGCGUGAGGGAUGAAGGUACAGAGUAGCGUAAACCUCUUUUGUCAGGGAACAAAGGCGGGGACGUGUCCCCGGCUGAGUGUACCUGAAGAAAAAGCAUCGGCUAACUCCGUGCCAGCAGCCGCGGUAAUACGGAGGAUGCGAGCGUUAUCCGGAUUUAUUGGGUUUAAAGGGUGCGCAGGGGGGCGGUUAAGUCAGCGGGAAAAGCCCGGGGCAAAACGCCGGCCCGCCGUUGAAACUGGCGGUCUCGAGUGGGGGAGAAGUAGGAGGAAUGUGCGGUGUAGCGGUGAAAUGCAUAGAUAUCGCGCAGAACUCCGAUUGCGAAGGCAGCAUGCCGGCUCCACACUGACGCUGAGGCACGAAAGCGUGGGUAUCGAACAGGAUUAGAUACCCUAGUAGUC